rnacentral:tRNA from 1 species
AAGUUUGGCUUAAGAGCCUACUAGCUAUUGUAGCAAAAUUAUGCGUUAGAGUUAAGAUCUAACAAUGAAA